ACCAACCACUUUGGUAGGGGCUCUCUACAUGCUUUGGGAAAAAGGGGAAGAAGCUCAACUAAAAACAGUUGAAAUUUUGAAUGCUUGGGAACAAUCCAGUACAUGAAACUCCCUGGAACAUUUGCGGGGAAAAAACAAAAAAAUACAAAGACUAUGAGCAGGAUCACAUUAUAAAUGAGUUAUUUUGCAGUGUUUAAUUUUAGUUUUUAUUUAAUGAUAAAACUAGAUUUUUAAUUAUAACUGACAAAUUUUGUGCCAGCCGUCGCGGUUAUACAGUUAGUUAAAUUAAAUUUUUUUGAUUUAAUAUUUUUAAUUUAUUUUGUAUUUAUAAUUAAAAUUUUUAGGUGGAAUUUUUAUUUUAUAUAUUUAUAUUGGUUUUUAUUUAUAUAUGAAAAUUAUUAACAAACUAGGAUUAGAUACCCUAUUAUUAUAAUUGUAAAUUUUUUUAAUAUUAAUAGUUAUGUUCUUUAAAUUAAAAGAAUUUGGCGGUAAUUUAAUCUUUCUAGAGGAACCUGUCCUUUAAUUGAUAAUCCACGAUUGAUUUUACUUUAUUUUUGUUUAUAUAUCGCUGUCAUUGAAUGUUUUAAAAGAAUUAUUUUCUUAAAAUUUUAUGAAUUUAAUGUUAGGUCAAGAUGUAGCUAUAUUAAAGUAGAGAUGGGUUACAUUAAAUUUAUUUUUGGAUUGAUUUUUUUUAUUUUUUCAUGAAAUUGGAUUUAGUUGUAAUUUUUAAAAAAUUUUAAUUUUGAUUUUAGUUCUAAAUUAUGUACACAUCGCCCGUCACUCUCAUUUUAAGUUGAGAUAAGUCGUAACAAAGUAGGUCUACCGGAAGGUCAAUAGAUCUGAG
rnacentral:rRNA from 1 species